rnacentral:rRNA from 1 species
GACGAACGCUGGCGGCGUGCUUAACACAUGCAAGUCGAACGGAAAGGCCCUUCGGGGUCCUCGAGUGGCGAACGGGUGAGUAACACGUGGGUGAUCUGCCCUGCACUUUGGGAUAAGCCUGGGAAACUGGGUCUAAUACCGAAUAGGACCACGCGCUUCAUGGUGUGUGGUGGAAAGCUUUUGCGGUGUGGGAUGGGCCCGCGGCCUAUCAGCUUGUUGGUGGGGUAAUGGCCUACCAAGGCGACGACGGGUAGCCGGCCUGAGAGGGUGACCGGCCACACUGGGACUGAGAUACGGCCCAGACUCCUACGGGAGGCAGCAGUGGGGAAUAUUGCACAAUGGGCGCAAGCCUGAUGCAGCGACGCCGCGUGAGGGAUGACGGCCUUCGGGUGGGAAACCUCUUUCAAUAGGGACGAAGCGCAAGUGACGGUACCGAUAGAAGAAGCACCGGCCAACUACGU